rnacentral:lncRNA from 1 species
AAAGAGGUUUUAUUUAAUAAAAAUAAAAACACCAAAACACACACCCAAGUGUGUGUUCUGGUCGUGAGUUCUAACAGGAGAAAAAGGGGUUUCUCUAAUGAACCCUAAAAUGCACAAAAUCAACCAAAUCAAGAAGGCAAAUCAAGUCUAAAUCGAAAACCAAGCUAGGAUUAGUGAUCACUCGGGCUAGAGGAUCACAAGUUUGACUCUGACAAGCUAGGUAGGAGUUUGGAAAUGAACGGGUCAAAUAGAUACAAGUUCAAGUAUGAGGCUCGCAAGGAUGCAAGGUGAAUGUUAUAUGCUUCCGCAUGAGGAUCAAGCCACGAGCAAGAACCGAACACACCUCUCAAUGAAGCUUCCGCAUUCGAUCUUGUUUUGUUUUAAUAAAAGUGGAUUAUGUAAACACUUUUAGCGAUGUUUUGGAUGUUGUAAACAUGUUUAAAUACUUAUGAUGUAAAAGUUUUUGUUAAGUGGCAUUUUUCAUAUAAAAUGCUUACG